rnacentral:ncRNA from 20 species
AUGAGAUGUGCUUCGGCACGUUCUUGAUGACGCAGUAGUCUUAAAAGGGAACCCGGUGUGAAUCCGGGGCUGCCCCGCAGCGGUAAGCGAGAACGACCUCCACGACGAGCACUGGUCCCUUCCGGGACUGGGAAGCGGUGGACAGUAGGAACCCGGCGCAAGCCGGAGUGCUCGUGAGCCCGAAGACCUGCCCGCACCUGACGUUGGAGA